rnacentral:lncRNA from 1 species
AAUCAUCGCCUCUUAAGGAGGACUUCAGACAUUUAUUUGCCCGGCCAAAUAACAGACCGGGUCUCCAGACUACAUGAAGUCAAGAGGACCUACCUCAAUGCAAGUUGCUUAAGCAAAGCAAAGCAAAAGUUCACAAGGAACUGAGCAACUAAAAGUACCUGGAAACAGUCAAACAUAGUUAGUACUCAGACAGACAAAACUAAACAGCAAAAGUUCAAUCAAUCAGAC